UAGGGAAUUUUCGUCAAUGGGCGCAAGCCUGAACGAGCAAUGCCGCGUGAGUGAGGAAGGUCUUCGGAUCGUAAAGCUCUGUUACAGGUCAGAAAAGAAGAAAAGAGGAAAUGCUUUUUCUUUUGAUAGUAACCUGCCAGAAAGUCACGGCUAACUACGUGCC
rnacentral:rRNA from 1 species